AUGGUUGGAUUGAGUGAAAGAUGCAGAGUUUAUUCUUAAAUAACCCAUAUUGGAGCAUCCUCUUCAUAGUCUUAUCCUGUACUGUAAAAUCAUUGGCAUUAAAUGUGAAGGAGCAAUCAUUAUUAUCAGCAAAUUUUUGUGUUGAAAGUAAAUUUGCUGAUACAUUUGGACAAUGAAGAAUAUUAUUUAAUACAAAUAAUUGAGAUGAAGUGAUGAUACGAGA
rnacentral:lncRNA from 1 species